GCUGGGUGUGGUGGCCCAUGUCUGUAAUCCCAACAGCUUGGGAGGCUGAGGCAGGAGGAUCAUGAGUUCAAAGCCAACCUCAACAAAAGCAGGGGCUAAGCAACUCAGUGAGACCCUGUCUCUA
rnacentral:sRNA from 1 species